rnacentral:rRNA from 1 species
GAUGAACGCUGGCGGCGUGCCUAAUACAUGCAAGUCGAGCGAACGGACGAGAAGCUUGCUUCUCUGAUGUUAGCGGCGGACGGGUGAGUAACACGUGGAUAACCUACCUAUAAGACUGGGAUAACUUCGGGAAACCGGAGCUAAUACCGGAUGAUAUUUUGAACCGCAUGGUUCAAAAGUGAAAGACGGUCUUGCUGUCACUUAUAGAUGGAUCCGCGCUGCAUUAGCUAGUUGGUAAGGUAACGGCUUACCAAGGCAACGAUGCAUAGCCGACCUGAGAGGGUGAUCGGCCACACUGGAACUGAGACACGGUCCAGACUCCUACGGGAGGCAGCAGUAGGGAAUCUUCCGCAGUGGGCGAAAGCCUGACGGAGCAACGCCGCGUGAGUGAUGAAGGUCUUCGGAUCGUAAAACUCUGUUAUUAGGGAAGAACAGAUGUGUAAGUAACUGUGCACAUCUUGACGGUACCUAAUCAGAAAGCCACGGCUAACUACGUG